UUACGACGAUCUCAACAGAAAUAAGGGAGCUUGACCUCAGAGUCCCCUCACCCCCUACCUAGAAGUUACGCGUCAGAGAUGAAAUGAAAUGUCGCUAUUCUAAAGCGUUGAUGACCGCGAGGCUGAGAAGGGGGAUCACUGGACAAGGGGAGGGGAUGGAGGAGCCCGCCCCCGCCAGCCACUCAUUCGCUGCGAGGCUCAGGCAGCCCACUUCCUUCUCCAGGCCUCCUGAAGCUUCCUCUUUUUGGAAGUUAAACUAGAACGAUCGCUAAGUUCUGAAAUGUGGUGACAGGGACUACAGUGAAAAUAGCUGACAUCUACUGAGCACUACCUACGAGCCAGCACUUCGCAAAGCACCUCAAACGUGUGAACUCAUUUCAUCCCCACACACCGUGAGGUGGAAGUGUUAGGAGACCCCCUCUCCAGAUGAGAAAACUGAGGCUUAGAACUGACCGUUUCAACACAGCCCAUUCCACCGCUACAAGCGUCUCCCAUUUCCCCCCCCAACUGGCUUCAAAGAGCCCUCCAAGGAAAAAUAUGCAAAGGUUAGAUUGUGAAAGAAACAAAAUGUAUGGGUAUCUAAGAUGGAUUGUUUGUAUAUAUGAACUUAUUUCUUCACCACAAAAUUCUAGAGGAAAGGACCAUGAAUAAAUCUGCUUCUCAGAUGGGGAAAAGGGUUCGGAGAGGGGAACCCUUCCGGAAUCACACGGCUCAGGCGGGAGCUGGAGCUGAGCUCACACCCAGAUGAGUCCAAGGCUGGACCUUCUUCACCAAACCAGGCUGCCCCUGAACACCAGGGUUCACCCCCCGGGAACGGGGGCGCGCAUGACGGGACACGUCUGUGAAUGUGGUUCUGCCGUGUAUGCCGUCCCUGUUGCUUCUGUAACUAAGUGCCCCAAACCCAGCGGCUUAGAGCAACACAAAGCUGUUCUCUUACAGCUUUGCAGGCCAGAGUCUGGAAUCACUCACUGGGCUCCAUUCAACACGUCGUCAGGGCUGGAUCCUUCUGCAGGCUCCGGAAGAGUCCCUUCCUCACCUUCUCCAGCUUCUAGAGGCCGCCUGCAUCCCUUGGCUUGUGGGCCCAGACCAUGCUGCCUUCUGACUCUGACCCUCCCGCCUCCCUCUUGUAAGGACCCUUGUGAUUACAUUGGGUCCACCUGGAUAAUCAGAAUAAUCUCCUCAUCUCGGGAUCCUUAGCUGGGUCACAUGAGCCAAGGCCCCUCCUCCACGUAAGAUAACAUGCAGAGCUCCAGGGAACUAGGCCACAGGCGUCUUUGAUGGGCCACUGUUCCGCCAACCACAUGCUGGGAGAUUUCCUUCACUUGACAGCGACCGAGUGUCAUGGGGAAAAGAAGGUCAUCUAGGAGCCCCCUGAGUUUACAGUCGAGGAAACCAAGCAGCCAGGCUGACACCAACCUCGAGAAUCUCCAGACGAGACACAUACGCAGGCGGUGUGUCCAGUAUUUCUCGAGAUGAAAGGCCAACUUUGGAAGACUUCAGACCCUUCAGAGAAGUUUGCGGACCUGACCUUGAGCCAGCCCAGCACCCGGCUUCAUCAAAGGCUCCAGCCAGGUUAGCGUCAGCCAACUCUGCAUGGAGGGUGAAGCCCUGCAGCGAGCACUGGGGACAUUCGCGGCCUAGGUGGGGGAGGAUGGGCCUCUCCAGACAGGACAGACUCUCCCUGGGGGUUUGCAGCCAAUGUCAUAGAAACUCAGGUCUGUCCCCAAAGCCCAAGUGGAGGCAGUUGGGACCAGGGUAUAUUGCACUCAGCACCCCUGGACUGGCUCCCUUGUUCUGGAACCAGCUAAGAGAUUGAGUACAAUACUUAGUAUAAGAGCAGAGGUUUCAAUCCAGUGGUUCAAAUGUAACAAUAAUAGUAUUAUUAUUACUAAUAACAGCAAGCACAGAUACUGCACUUACUAUGUGCUGUAUCCACACCUUACUGUUUCCACACCUUACAUGUAUUAACUCAUUUAAUCCUUACAAUAAUAAAUUUGCAUUACCUCUUUGAGUCUGUCACCCCGCAUUAGACAAAGCUACAUUCAAAUUCUGGCUGAGCCACUUGCUUGUUGUGCAGCCCUAGGCAAGAGGUUUAACUCCACUGGGCCUCAGUUUCCUUAUCUGAAAUGUGGACAAGGAUAGGAUGUAACCCACAGGGAUGCUGGGAGAACUAAUAUGCUGGGGUGUGGCACAGUACUUGCACACGGUGAGUGUUUAACAAUUGACAAGAACCACUGUUCUGCUUGUGGCAGAUUGUAUUUUCCAAGGAGAGCAUCAAUUUAUAGCUUCCAUCCUAAAUGUGCACCCCAUAUGCUUUUCUUACAAUGUGGUUAACGCUCUUCCCACCAAGGGUUGGGGGUCUAUGAUCCCACCUCUUCAGAGUGGGUGGGGACUUGUACUGUGCCAACCAACAGACACGGCAGAAUGGAUGCUAUGAGAUUUCCCAGGCUGAGUCACACAGAGGGCACAGCUUCUGCCUGGUUCCCUCACUCUUGGGACUCUCACCCUCGAAAGCCAUUCACCAUAUUUGAAGUUCAAACUAAACCAGGCAGAAAAACCACACAGAGAGAAAGCAAGGCUCCCAAGGAGCAGCCAGCAGCCACAACCCGGCAGUGAGUGAAUGGGCCUUCAGGUGACCCAGGCCCUAGCCUAUGAGUCCUAGCCUAUGAGGGGCCUCCUAGCCUAUGAGGCCACAGACCUGGAGGAACAGAGAGAAAACAUCCCGUGCCAGCCUGUCCAAAUUUCUGGCCCACAUAAUCCACGAGCAUAAUAAAUGGUUGUUCUACACCUUUACUUUGUGGAGCAAUUUGUUACACAGCAAGAGAUAACCAUUACUACCACGAUUACUUCUCUCCCCUGGAGCAGAGCUUCUUCUAGGAAGGAGAGUCCUCCGGACAUGAGGGCCCUGGCCCGACGACUUGGACCUUGGCACCCUACAGGAGGAAAGGUGGCGCCAAGGCCAGACCUGCUAACUCCCUUUCUUUGGUUCCUCCCCCUUUACACUGAAAAGGAAGUGGAGUGUGGAGGGGAUUCUUAAAGAGCCUCCACAUGUAGUGGAUGGUUUGACUACCGUUUACUUUCAUUCCCUACUAGGUAUGCCCAUAGGACAGAUGAGCAAAAUGAGGCUCAGAGAGAUUUAGAGACUUGUCCAAGGCCACACAGCUAGUGCAUGAGAGCGCUGAAAUUCCAGUGAUACACACCACUACUCUCCACCCAAUUUUUAACAGGCAAAUAACAACUUAAGAAAGUGUGCGCAGAUAUUGAUUAUAGUCACCAGCCCGGUGAUUAAGGGCCUGCUAUGUGCCAAGGUCUGUGCUGGGCAGUGACAAGAAUGACCGGGUCCAGCCUCGUUCUUCCACCCCAUGUCCUCCCAGCCUUCCCCUCAAUCACUGUGUGCCACCGUCUUUGCACCCUUCCUUCUGCUCCUUGAACACACCAAGGUCUUUGCAUUGACUGCUCCCUCUGCCGGCACCUCCCUUCCCCUGCCCUCCCUGCCAUCACAGCGCAGCGGCUGGCUCCUUCUCCCCGCUCAGUCUCAACUCAAACGUCACCCCCAGAGGGGCCUCCGUGACCACCUAACCUAGUGAAUCCAGCCUUCCCCAACCCCACACCACCUGCUGUGGGUAAAACCCCCGAGUUAUUUCCUUCACAAUGUGAUUCCUCAUGUGAAAUUGCUCCCCACUAGAGUAAAGUCCAUGAGAACAGGAGUCCAAAGUGUUUCCUGCCACACCCCCAGCGCCUAGAACAGAGGUCCGAUAAAUACUGAAUAACUGAACGUGCUUUAAGGCAUUGUGUCUUAUUAUUUGGAACAUCAAUCAAAGUCAUGCAUAGCCUUCAUUUGACAAAUAUUAAUUGAGCACCUACCAUGCACCAAGCAUCAUUCGGGUGCUGGGGCUACGGCACUGAUCCAAUAAGACAAGAGUCUCUGCUCUCACGGAGCUUUCACGUUAGUGGCUCUGUAAUAAGAUAAAUGAGUGAAAUACAUAGCAUAUCCCAUGGUGCUUCGCGCUAUGAAGAAAGAUAAAGCUGGGAGGGGGCGAGAGUAUGCGGGCAGUAUCGCACCAGUUUCACCUUCCUCUCCGCAGAAGGGACUCGGCGCCUCCCCCGCUGCCCUCGCUGAGGCCUGCACCACCGUCAGCAUCUUUCAGUGUGACAUUUUGGUCAAGGCCUCUGCAGCUCCAAGAGAAAUAUUGGCUUUGAAGCAGGGCCCAGCAGGUGGGCCUCAGGCUGGGGUUGGGAUUAGUCACCCCUUUAGAUGCCCUGGGGUUAGGGGGUCAAGCAGCUUGGCCGUGCAGGGCCUUUCCUCACUGUGGGGAAGCGGGCAGGCCCUGGACUCCCCUGGCCCGGAGCUGUGACCAACUCUGGCUUCUGGUCCCCCCCAAACCCCCUCCAUUCCGGGCAGCGAGCGAAGGUUUACAAACAUGAAGAGGCCUUUGAUCCGCACUAAACCCCCAGGGUUCUGACUGUUUUUUGUUCCAAAAUGCAGGCCAGGACCAUACUGCACUUUGCCUCCAGCAGAGAAGACUGUGGGUAGGUGGAGAGAAAGAGAGAGAGAGAGAGAGAGGGUGUGUGCGUGUGUGUCUGGGGUAGAGGGAGGAAGGAAUAGGAGGGUGAGGGGGGUGUGCCUUUGGGGUAGGGGGUGGCUCCUUAAUUUUCUUUCCAACAGACAGGCUGGGCUUGUACAAGGGAAUUCUAUUCAAUUCCGUAGGUAUUUACAAGCACCCACUACGUUCCAGGUACCAUUCUGGAAACCAGGCUGGAGUGGUGGAGCAAACGCAGGCCCCCGCCCAUGGAGCAGACAGGAAGCAAAUGAGCCAGUGAAUAAUAAAAGGCAGCAGGUGCUGGUGAAUGGGACAGAGAUAAAGCUGCGGAGGCAGAUCGGGAGGGCUGGGGAUGGGGUGCUACCUUUUACACAGGAUGCGCAUGGAAGACACAUGGUGUUUGGCAGAGGCCGGAAGGGAGUGAGGGAGGCAGCCAGGUGAAGAUCUGUAGGGAACAGUGUUACAAAGGGAACAGCAAGUACAAAGGCCAUGAGAUAGGAGCAUGACUGACUUUGGCAGAAGAGUAUGGCUGACCCCGAGGGAGAAGAGGGGGUCAGAAAGGUCAGUGUUGGGCUGGAAGCAGAUGGGUCUAUUGGCCCUUAGUGAGGUGGAAACACUGGAAUGUUCUGAACAGAGAAAUGAUAUGACCUGCAUUGAGAUUAAAGAGGAUUCCCCAGG